rnacentral:tRNA from 1 species
UUCCCUGACCAGGGAUCGAACCGGGGUCCCCUGCGUUGGGAGCGCAGAGUCUUAACCACUGGACCAUCAGGGA